rnacentral:rRNA from 1 species
CCCGACUGCUAUGGGAAUGGGACUAAGUCACGCUAGUUAAAGGUGCGGAAUGGAGCACCUAGCGCACGGCUCAGUAACACGUAGUGAACCUGCCCUAAAGACGGGGACAACCACGGGAAACUGUGGCUAAUACCCGAUAGGAAACUCGGCCUGGAACGGUGUUUUUCCAAAAACCGGCUAGCCGUUAGACACGGGCUUUAGGAUGGCGCUGCGGCUGAUUAUGCUAGACGGCGGUAUAAAGGACCACCGUGGCUACGAUCAGUAAGGGCAAUGGAAGUUGGAGCCCUGAGUCGCCUACUGAGACAAGGAGGCGAGCCUUACGAGGCUUAGCGGUCGCGAAACCUCGCCAAUGCACGAAAGUGUGAGUGGGCCAAUCCCAGUGACAUUCUUACGGAUGUCUGUCGCACAGUCUUACAAGCUGUGAAAGGAAGGAGUGGGCAAGGCUGGUGCCAGCCGCCGCGGUAAAACCAGCACUUCAAGUGGUCGGGACGUAUAUUGGGUCUAAAGCGCUCGUAGCUGGGCAUGUAGGUUCCUGGUUAAAUCCGGCGACUUAAUCGUCGGCCUGCUGGGAAUACCACAAGUCUUGAAAGCGGGAGAGGACAGCGGUAGUCAUGGGGCAGGGGUGAAAUCCAGUGAUCCCAUGGCGACCACCGAUGGCGAAGGCAGCUGUCUGGAACGUCUUUGACAGUGAGGGGCGACAGCCAGGGGAGCGACCCGGAUUAGAUACCCGGUUAGUCCUGGCCGUAAACGAUGCGGACUAGGUGUUACGGCGGCCAAGAGCCACCGUAGUGCCACAGUGAAGACGUUAAGUCCGCCACCUGGGGAGUACGUACGCAAGUGUGAAACUUAAGGAAAAAUGGAUGCGAUCCUUUUUCGAGUAAAGGUAUUGACGGGGGCGCACCACCAGGAGUGAAGCCUGCGGUUUAAUUGGAUUCAACGCCGGAAAACUCACCUAAACAGACAGCAGGAUGAAGCUCAGGCUAAUGACCUUAGCUAACUCGCUGAGAGGUAGUGCAUGGCCGUCGACAGUUCGUGCCGUGAGGUGUCCUGUUAAGUCAGGCAACGAACGAGAUCCACGUCCUCAAUUGCCAGCGGAUCCCUUUGGGAUGCCGGGAACCUUGAGGAGACUGCCCGGUGCUAAACCGGAGGAAGGAGUGGGCAACGGCAGGUCAGUAUGCUCCGAUAGUUUAGGGCUACACGCGGGCUGCAAUGGUCGGUACAAUGGGCUGUGACCCCGAAAGGGGAAACCAAUCCCGAAAGCCGGUCUCAGUCAGGAUUGCGGUUUGUAACUCAACCGCAUGAAUAUGGAAUUCCUAGUAAUCGUGUUUCAACAAGACACGGUGAAUACGUCCCCGCGCCUUGUACACACCGCCCGUCGUUGCAACCAACUGCAUGAUGGUUGAGGUGGCUGACUUAGUGUGGUCAUCAAUACUGUUGUGUGCUAGGAGGCAA